rnacentral:rRNA from 1 species
UAAUACGAAGGGGACUAGCGUUGUUCGGAAUCACUGGGCGUAAAGCGCACGUAGGCGGAUAUGUCAGUCAGGGGUGAAAUCCCGGGGCUCAACCUCGGAACUGCCCUUGAUACAGCAUGUCUUGAGUCCGAUAGAGGUGGGUGGAAUUCCUAGUGUAGAGGUGAAAUUCGUAGAUAUUAGGAAGAACACCGGUGGCGAAGGCGGCCCACUGGAUCGGUACUGACGCUGAGGUGCGAAAGCGUGGGGAGCAAACAGG